AAGAACAUAUUAAAGUUGGAAGACUUUUCAAACUAUUAAAUCUCUUGGGAUGAUUGCGAUAUUUUGGUAAAUACUAUGUGUCAACAAUCAACAUGUGGACAGUGAAAAUCUCGGAUCUCUCUUCAACUUGUCUUGAAUGCAAUAGAGAAAUCGAUUGGCUGCUGCAAAUUGUUACUUAAUCUUUUUACAACUGAGACGAAGUUCCCAACCUAUGAAUAUAAGAUAUACUUUUUGAUAAUUAUGUAUUCUUAAUUUUUUCAAUUUUGUUGGCUCAUUAAUAAAGAGAUUUUUAAAACUUUA